ensembl:lncRNA novel transcript, antisense to DGCR8
CCCUUCUGGACAGUUUGCUUUAUGUGUUCAGACAAUCAAGGCUCGCCUUCCAGGCACAGCCCAGUGCCCUGGAUGGCAUCAGCACAGGUGCCAGUCCACCACCAGGGCCAGCCUUUGAGCACACCCUGGUGCCUCAGACUCCGGCAGGAACACAUUUCCAUCGCACACCCACCCAUAGGGGCCACCAGUCGAGAAGCAAGCUGGGCACCAGGCAGCUGCCUUUGACAUCCAGAGAAACCGCUGUCACAGGCAACAGCUCUGGAUCAAGAAUGGGCUACACUGAAGGCCCUUGCUUCCUGUUUCAACAAGUCCACUUGCUAAAAUGCAUGAUUCCAAAUCUACCUUCUACUCUCACUGUGAAAGUCUUUCAAAAUGCUAAAAUAUCACAAAAGCUUUAAAAAUCAAUGGGUGGACAUAUGGACUCGACUGCAAAAAAUCUUUGUAAAAAACUGUUGCCGGAGGCCAGGAAAGGCAGAGAGGGCCUCAGUGUCCAAAGAGGCGCUUUUAGGGAAUUAAGACUUCAUCA